CAUUUCGGGCCCGUAGGGCCUACGCACAUUGGAGGACGAGAUGGCAGAGGAUUUUAAAUUAUCAGUUGAAUUCAAUAUUUAUCCAAUCGAAAUAAGGUGUAUAUUUCAAUGCUCGGUGAAGGAUC